rnacentral:piRNA from 1 species
UGACACCACUUCCUGGUUUACAGAGGCUGC